CUCUGCUCCUGCAACCAGCCCGCACCCGCUGAGCCUUCGUUGCUGUGUCCUGUAUCCCAGAAGAAUGGUCACUCUGUCACCAUGGCUGGAGUAGUGGCACAAUCUCGGCUCAUUGCAACCUCCACCUCUUAGGCUCAAGCAGUCCACCUGCCUCAGCCUUCCAAAGUGCUGUGAUUACAGGCGUGAGCCACCACGCCCAGCCCAUUCUUUUACUACGUCUUCAAAAAUCUUAACAUGACACAUUUCUGUUCAGUCAAGCCACAGUUCCAGAGCUCGAUGGCCACAGGUGGCUCCUGUGUCUACGAGACAGGCAGAGGGCCAGGCUAGUGCUGCACCAUGCAUUCAGGAAGGGAGCAGGAACCUCCUCUCUUCAUUCUCUACCCUUCUCUCUGGAAUCUCAUGGGAAUCUCCUCUCGGUGACUGUUCUUAUUGCCACGUGAACAACGGACCAAGGAGGAUGGAGGUCUCUGAGGAGGGGCAGGAUUCUGGUGGGAACCGUAUGAGGGGAAACUGGGAGACAGGCAUGG
rnacentral:lncRNA from 1 species